GACGUAGGGUCCAAGCGUUGUCCGGAUUUACUGGGCGUAAAGAGCGCGUAGGCGGUCCGUUAAGUGUAGAGUGAAAGCUCCGGGCUCAACUCGGAAAUUGCUCUGCAUACUGGCGGACUCGAGGACGGAAGAGGUUUGUGGAAUUCCUGGUGUAGCGGUGAAAUGCGUAGAUAUCAGGAAGAACACCGGUGGCGAAAGCGCUCUGCUAGGCCGCAACUGACACUGAGGGACGAAAGCCAGGGGAGCAAACGGG
rnacentral:rRNA from 1 species